CAUGCUUGUGCAUCGAACUGGUGAAUCGUGAUCUCCUCAAUCGAAGCCCAUUCUCAUUAUUUUGUGUUAUGGGUGAAGGUCGGGUUCCUGUGCUGAAUACCCACGAAGGUGGAAAUCGAUAAUGUUGCGGGUCGGUAUUCGCCCAUGCCUACCGAGGGCAUGUGGUGAACAUGGAAGCACCUCUUGUGUUCCAAACGUGUUGAUUCAACUGUUAUGGCACACUUGUUGGUCGCUCGUGCUCUCGGAUGCGGAAAUUGCUUUGUAGCUGAGGGAUCGGAUCCCUCAAUCGGUAUAAAUGUUCUAUAUUUACGAAUGACAUGCAGUGCUUGUUUCCAGCCCUCUUCACGCUAUGAUUUUGGUAUGUUGAGGAUUGGAACGGGCAUUGCGUUCGUGAAGGAAUGC
rnacentral:misc_RNA from 1 species